UGAAAUAAAAUAGGAGGAAGUCUUCUCUUCAUUACCGGCGGCGGCCGAGGAGAUAGAUUCAGUGACACUCUUUCUUCUUCUCUCUCUCCACGAUGGAUCCGCUAUCUGCUCUGCGAGACUACACAAUCCGGAACGAGCUAGACAAGAUCGUCCGGGUGGGCGAUGAGUUUCGCUUCGGCGGCGAGUACGCCUUCCCGUGCGGCGUCGCCACCGCCUACCGCUCCAAGCAAGGCAGCCUCUACACCCUUGAAACCCUCGUACACUUCGUCAAGAAUCACCACCUCAAGCACACCGAGUACAUGCACCACGCCCGUCUCCACAACCUCCCCUCGGUCGUCACCUUCAUCGACCGCAAGCCCCUGCUUGACUACCUCCAAGGCAAGGUUUCCUCCUCCGAUUCCAUCCAGUUCCUCGCCCCUCCAAACCCUAAUCCUCCUAAAAUCCCGGACGAGUACCGCCCCGAGGACCCCGCCUUGCUCCCCCCGCAAGAAUUCGGCAUUAAUUUGAACGACGACGCGUUUAGGGUUCCCGAGAAUUACAUCUCGAUGAUUCGUUCGAUGGAGAGGCCGUUGAAGGACCGCGAGACGAUGCUGGAGUGUCGGAAUCGGAACUUCUACGGGGUCUGGAUGGCGGCCACGAAGCGGGACGAGGAGCGGCAGCGGGCGGAGGCGCAGCAGCGGAAGGACGGGCUGGUGGCGAAGAGUCGGCUGAUGAGGGGCGACGAGAGAGGCUUCGGGGACGAAAUGGGGUACGAUUCGAAGCCGAAAAUGCUCUUGAAAGGUAGCAAAAUUGGGGAGGGCGUUCCGAUCAUUUUGGUGCCGAGUGCGUUUCAGACCCUGAUCACGAUACACAAUGUGAAGGAGUUUUUGGAGGAUGGAGUGUUUAUUCCAACGGAUGUGAAGGUGAAGCAGAUGAAGGGGCCGAAGCCGGACUGUGUUACUGUGCAGAAAAAGUUCAGUAGAGACCGGGUGGUGACGGCCUACGAGGUGAGGGAUAAGCCGUCGGCGUUGAAGGCAGAGGACUGGGAUCGGGUGGUGGCGGUUUUUGUGUUGGGGAAGGAGUGGCAGUUCAAGGACUGGCCUUUCAAGGACCACGUUGAGAUCUUCAACAAAAUUCUUGGGUUUUUCAUGCGGUUUGAGGAUGAUAGCCUGGAGUCAGCAAGGACUGUUAAGCAAUGGAAUGUGAAAAUCAUUUCAAUUAGCAAGAACAAACGGCACCAGGAUAGAGCUGCAGCACUUGAGGUUUGGGACAAAUUGGAACAGUUCAUGCGCUCAAGGUCACGUGGUUGAGAAAGGGUUCUGCAAUGCUUGGAUUGGGAGGUCAUGAUGGACUGAAGAUCACCAUGAAUUGAUGCAUGGUGACCACAGCGGCAAAGAUGUUCUUUUUGAUCUGUUCAUGUUCCCCAGCAUCUGGAUGUUUCUUUGCCAGAAAAGGUAACAAGAUAUGCAGUUGUUUUGAAGCAGCAAAAGGCAAGAAGUGAACCUGUUGACCUCGAUGCAAGCAUGCAAAAAUGAAGAUCAACAAGGAUGCUGCUGUGCAGAGAGAGAUGAGUUAAAGUUAGUGGUUGCAGUUUACCUCAUUAACACUGAUGUUGUAGGUUUGUAUUUGAUGCAGCAGCUCUUCUUAACAAAAGAAGACAUUUUUAUGGAUCAUUUUACUUUUA